CCUACGGGCGGCAGCCGUGAGGAAUAUUGGUCAAUGGACGAGCGUCUGAACCAGCCAAGUAGCGUGAAGGAUGACUGCCCUAUGGGUUGUACACUUCUUUUAUGUGGGAAUAAAAUGUUCCACGUGUGGGAUUUUGUAUGUACCAUAUGAAUAAGGAUCGGCUAACUCCGUGCCAGCAGCCGCGGUAAUACGGAGGAUCCGAGCGUUAUCCGGAUUUAUUGGGUUUAAAGGGAGCGUAGGUGGAUUGUUAAGUCAGUUGUGAAAGUUUGCGGCUCAACCGUAAAAUUGCAGUUGAAACUGGCAGUCUUGAGUACAGUAGAGGUGGGCGGAAUUCGUGGUGUAGCGGUGAAAUGCUUAGAUAGCACGAAGAACUCCGAUUGCGAAGGCAGCCCACUGGACUGCAACUGACACUGAGGCUCGAAAGUGUGGGUAUCAAACAGGAUUAGAUACCCCGGUAGUC
rnacentral:rRNA from 1 species